rnacentral:rRNA from 1 species
UACGGAGGGAGCUAGCGUUGUUCGGAAUUACUGGGCGUAAAGCGCGCGUAGGCGGCUUUGUAAGUUAGAGGUGAAAGCCCGGGGCUCAACCCCGGAAUUGCCUUUAAGACUGCAUCGCUUGAAUCCGGGAGAGGUGAGUGGAAUUCCGAGUGUAGAGGUGAAAUUCGUAGAUAUUCGGAAGAACACCAGGUGGCGAAGGCGGCUCACUGGCUCGUAACUGACGCUCAUGCACGACAGCGUGGGGAUCAAACAGGAUUAGAACCUACCGUCGUAGUCCAAGAC